GUAGUCUGCAACUCGACUACAUGAAGCUGGAAUCGCUAGUAAUCGCGGAUCAGAAUGCCGCGGUGAAUACGUUCCCGGGUCUUGUACACACCGCCCGUCACACCAUGGGAGCCGGAAAUGCCCGAAGUCUGUGACUCAACCGAGAGGGGAGAGCAGCCGAAGGUGGAGCUGGUAACUGGGGUGAAGUCGUAACAAGGUAUC
rnacentral:rRNA from 1 species